rfam:Gossypium arboreum cultivar AKA8401 contig_13958_1, whole genome shotgun sequence.
AAUAGAAGAAUAAAAAAAUCAGGUUUUUCCUCUUAAUUUUCAGCCUUUUCGUCCUAAAAAAAUUUAAAUCCAACUAAAAAUGCUAAAAAUUAAGAGAAAAAAUCUAAUUUGUUAUUUUUCUAUU